rnacentral:rRNA from 1 species
UACGUAGGGUGCGAGCGUUGUCCGGAAUUAUUGGGCGUAAAGAGCUCGUAGGCGGUCUGUCGCGUCUGCUGUGAAAACUCAGGGCUUAACCCUGAGCUUGCAGUGGGUACGGGCAGACUAGAGUGCGGUAGGGGAGACUGGAACUCCUGGUGUAGCGGUGAAAUGCGCAGAUAUCAGGAGGAACACCGGUGGCGAAGGCGGGUCUCUGGGCCGUAACUGACGCUGAGGAGCGAAAGCAUGGGGAGCGAACAGG